rnacentral:rRNA from 1 species
GACGGAGGAUGCAAGUGUUAUCCGGAAUCACUGGGCGUAAAGGCGUCUGAUAGGUGGUUUAAUAAGUCAACUGUUAAAUCGUUGAGGCUCAACCUCAAAAUCGCAGGUCGAAACUAUUAGGCUAGAGUAUAGUAGGGGUAAAGGGAAUUUCCAGUGGAGCGGUGAAAUGCGUAGAGAGUUGGAAAGAACACCGAUGGCGAAGGCACUUUACUGGGCUAUUACUAACACUCAGAGACGAAAGCUAGGGUAGCAAAUGGG